UCUCUGUUAGUAUAUCGGUUAGUACACGCGCCUGUCAUGGUCUGCUGACCGCGCGAAAGCGGGGUUCGACUCCCCGACAGAGAG